rnacentral:misc_RNA from 1 species
UUUCCGUAGGUGAACCUGCGGAAGGAUCAUUACCGAGUUAGGGUCCUCUAGGCCCGACCUCCAAACCCUUUGUUUACUGAACCAUUGUUGCCCCGGUGGGUCCGGCUUACGACCGCCGGGGGAACGCCGCUUGGACCCCGCCGACCAAUGCCCACGGAUAGCCCAAACUUUAAAAACCUUCAACAACCGUUUUCUAUGCCUAAAUUUAUGAUUAAAAAACCAAAACAAAACUUUCAACAACGGAUCACUUGGUUCAGGCAUCGAUAAAGAACGCAGCAG